rnacentral:snoRNA from 1 species
AUUCCAUGGUGAGGACAAUCUGAUAUGUAUCCUUGAAAACGCUCCCAUGCUUCUGAAAUGGCUUCUGUCUUCUGUUGUGCCU